ACAAACUUGGUCAUUUAGAGGAAGUAAAAGUCGUAACAAGGUUUCCGUAGGUGAACCUGCGGAAGGAUCAUUAACAAGUCCGUGUGACACGUGUCCGCUGCGUGCCGUGUGACAUGCACGUGUGCGCAGCAGCAAUUUUAGUCCUGACUGAUAAUCGUCUACAACGAAUGAACAACUUUUAACAAUGGAUCUCUAGGCUCUUAUGUGUAUAAGAGACAGACAAACUUGGUCAUUUAGAGGAAGUAAAAGUCGUAACAAGGUUUCCGUAGGUGAACCUGCGGAAGGAUCAUUAACAAGUCCGUGUGACACGUGUCCGCUGCGUGCCGUGUGACAUGCACGUGUGCGCAGCAGCAAUUUUAGUCCUGACUGAUAAUCGUCUACAACGAAUGAACAACUUUUAACAAUGGAUCUCUAGGCUCUUGCAUCGAUGAAGAACGCAGC
rnacentral:misc_RNA from 1 species